AUUGAACGCUGGCGGCAGGCCUAACACAUGCAAGUCGAGCGGAGCGGCGGACGGGUGAGUAAUGCCUAGGAAUCUGCCUGGUAGUGGGGGAUAACGUCCGGAAACGGGCGCUAAUACCGCAUACUAUCAGAUGAGCCUAGGUCGGAUUAGCUAGUUGGUGGGGUAAAGGCCUACCAAGGCGACGAUCCGUAACUGGUCUGAGAGGAUGAUCAGUCACACUGGAACUGAGACACGGUCCAGACUCCUACGGGAGGCAGCAGUGGGGAAUAUUGGACAAUGGGCGAAAGCCUGAUCCAGCCAUGCCGCGUGAGUGAUGACGGCCUUCGGGUUGUAAAGCUCUGUUAAUCGGGACGCGGUACCGGAAUAGAAAGCCACGGCUAACUACGUGCCAGCAGCCGCGGUAAUUC
rnacentral:rRNA from 1 species